UACGGAGGGGGCUAGCGUUGUUCGGAAUUACUGGGCGUAAAGCGCACGUAGGCGGCUUUGUAAGUUAGAGGUGAAAGCCCGGGGCUCAACUCCGGAAUUGCCUUUAAGACUGCAUCGCUUGAACACGGGAGAGGUGAGUGGAAUUCCGAGUGUAGAGGUGAAAUUCGUAGAUAUUCGCAAGAACACCAGUGGCGAAGGCGGCUCACUGGCCCGAUACUGACGCUGAGGCACGAAAGCGUGGGGAGCAAACAGG
rnacentral:rRNA from 1 species